rnacentral:rRNA from 1 species
GGGUUGUGAGGUUAAGCGACUAAGCGUACACGGUGGAUGCCCUGGCAGUCAGAGGCGAUGAAGGACGUGCUAAUCUGCGAUAAGCGUCGGUAAGGUGAUAUGAACCGUUAUAACCGGCGAUUUCCGAAUGGGGAAACCCAGUGUGUUUCGACACACUAUCAUUAACUGAAUCCAUAGGUUAAUGAGGCGAACCGGGGGAACUGAAACAUCUAAGUACCCCGAGGAAAAGAAAUCAACCGAGAUUCCCCCAGUAGCGGCGAGCGAACGGGGAGCAGCCCAGAGCCUGAAUCAGUGUGUGUGUUAGUGGAAGCGUCUGGAAAGGCGCGCGAUACAGGGUGACAGCCCCGUACACAAAAAUACACAUACUGUGAGCUCGAUGAGUAGGGCGGGACACGUGGUAUCCUGUCUGAAUAUGGGGGGACCAUCCUCCAAGGCUAAAUACUCCUGACUGACCGAUAGUGAACCAGUACCGUGAGGGAAAGGCGAAAAGAACCCCGGCGAGGGGAGUGAAAAAGAACCUGAAACCGUGUACGUACAAGCAGUGGGAGCACGCUUAGGCGUGUGACUGCGUACCUUUUGUAUAAUGGGUCAGCGACUUAUAUUCUGUAGCAAGGUUAACCGAAUAGGGGAGCCGAAGGGAAACCGAGUCUUAACUGGGCGUUAAGUUGCAGGGUAUAGACCCGAAACCCGGUGAUCUAGCCAUGGGCAGGUUGAAGGUUGGGUAACACUAACUGGAGGACCGAACCGACUAAUGUUGAAAAAUUAGCGGAUGACUUGUGGCUGGGGGUGAAAGGCCAAUCAAACCGGGAGAUAGCUGGUUCUCCCCGAAAGCUAUUUAGGUAGCGCCUCGUGAAUUCAUCUCCGGGGGUAGAGCACUGUUUCGGCAAGGGGGUCAUCCCGACUUACCAACCCGAUGCAAACUGCGAAUACCGGAGAAUGUUAUCACGGGAGACACACGGCGGGUGCUAACGUCCGUCGUGAAGAGGGAAACAACCCAGACCGCCAGCUAAGGUCCCAAAGUCAUGGUUAAGUGGGAAACGAUGUGGGAAGGCCCAGACAGCCAGGAUGUUGGCUUAGAAGCAGCCAUCAUUUAAAGAAAGCGUAAUAGCUCACUGGUCGAGUCGGCCUGCGCGGAAGAUGUAACGGGGCUAAACCAUGCACCGAAGCUGCGGCAGCGACGCUGAUGCGUUGUUGGGUAGGGGAGCGUUCUGUAAGCCUGUGAAGGUGUGCUGUGAGGCAUGCUGGAGGUAUCAGAAGUGCGAAUGCUGACAUAAGUAACGAUAAAGCGGGUGAAAAGCCCGCUCGCCGGAAGACCAAGGGUUCCUGUCCAACGUUAAUCGGGGCAGGGUGAGUCGACCCCUAAGGCGAGGCCGAAAGGCGUAGUCGAUGGGAAACAGGUUAAUAUUCCUGUACUUGGUGUUACUGCGAAGGGGGGACGGAGAAGGCUAUGUUGGCCGGGCGACGGUUGUCCCGGUUUAAGCGUGUAGGCUGGUUUUCCAGGCAAAUCCGGAAAAUCAAGGCUGAGGCGUGAUGACGAGGCACUACGGUGCUGAAGCAACAAAUGCCCUGCUUCCAGGAAAAGCCUCUAAGCAUCAGGUAACAUCAAAUCGUACCCCAAACCGACACAGGUGGUCAGGUAGAGAAUACCAAGGCGCUUGAGAGAACUCGGGUGAAGGAACUAGGCAAAAUGGUGCCGUAACUUCGGGAGAAGGCACGCUGAUAUGUAGGUGAAGUCCCUCGCGGAUGGAGCUGAAAUCAGUCGAAGAUACCAGCUGGCUGCAACUGUUUAUUAAAAACACAGCACUGUGCAAACACGAAAGUGGACGUAUACGGUGUGACGCCUGCCCGGUGCCGGAAGGUUAAUUGAUGGGGUCAGCGCAAGCGAAGCUCUUGAUCGAAGCCCCGGUAAACGGCGGCCGUAACUAUAACGGUCCUAAGGUAGCGAAAUUCCUUGUCGGGUAAGUUCCGACCUGCACGAAUGGCGUAAUGAUGGCCAGGCUGUCUCCACCCGAGACUCAGUGAAAUUGAACUCGCUGUGAAGAUGCAGUGUACCCGCGGCAAGACGGAAAGACCCCGUGAACCUUUACUAUAGCUUGACACUGAACAUUGAGCCUUGAUGUGUAGGAUAGGUGGGAGGCUUUGAAGUGUGGACGCCAGUCUGCAUGGAGCCGACCUUGAAAUACCACCCUUUAAUGUUUGAUGUUCUAACGUUGACCCGUAAUCCGGGUUGCGGACAGUGUCUGGUGGGUAGUUUGACUGGGGCGGUCUCCUCCUAAAGAGUAACGGAGGAGCACGAAGGUUGGCUAAUCCUGGUCGGACAUCAGGAGGUUAGUGCAAUGGCAUAAGCCAGCUUGACUGCGAGCGUGACGGCGCGAGCAGGUGCGAAAGCAGGUCAUAGUGAUCCGGUGGUUCUGAAUGGAAGGGCCAUCGCUCAACGGAUAAAAGGUACUCCGGGGAUAACAGGCUGAUACCGCCCAAGAGUUCAUAUCGACGGCGGUGUUUGGCACCUCGAUGUCGGCUCAUCACAUCCUGGGGCUGAAGUAGGUCCCAAGGGUAUGGCUGUUCGCCAUUUAAAGUGGUACGCGAGCUGGGUUUAGAACGUCGUGAGACAGUUCGGUCCCUAUCUGCCGUGGGCGCUGGAGAACUGAGGGGGGCUGCUCCUAGUACGAGAGGACCGGAGUGGACGCAUCACUGGUGUUCGGGUUGUCAUGCCAAUGGCACUGCCCGGUAGCUAAAUGCGGAAGAGAUAAGUGCUGAAAGCAUCUAAGCACGAAACUUGCCCCGAGAUGAGUUCUCCCUGACUCCUUGAGAGUCCUGAAGGAACGUUGAAGACGACGACGUUGAUAGGCCGGGUGUGUAAGCGCAGCGAUGCGUUGAGCUAACCGGUACUAAUGAACCGUGAGGCUUAACCUUACAACGCCGAAGCUGUU